AUUGCCUCAGUAACGGCGAGUGAAGCGGCAACAGCUCAAAUUUGAAAUCUGGCCCCAGGCCCGAGUUGUAAUUUGCAGAGGAUGCUUUUGGCGAGGUGCCUUCCGAGUUCCCUGGAACGGGACGCCAUAGAGGGUGAGAGCCCCGUCUGGUCGGACACCGAGCCUCUGUAAAGCUCCUUCGACGAGUCGAGUAGUUUGGGAAUGCUGCUCUAAAUGGGAGGUAUAUGUCUUCUAAAGCUAAAUACCGGCCAGAGACCGAUAGCGCACAAGUAGAGUGAUCGAAAGAUGAAAAGCACUUUGAAAAGAGAGUUAAAUAGCACGUGAAAUUGUUGAAAGGGAAGCGUUUAUGACCAGACUUGGCCCGGUUGAUCAUCCAGCGUUCUCGCUGGUGCACUCUGCCGGUCCAGGCCAGCAUCAGUUCGUCGCGGGGGAUAAAGGUUUCGGGAAUGUGGCUCCUCCGGGAGUGUUAUAGCCCGUUGCGUAAUACCCUGCGGUGGACUGAGGUCCGCGCUUCUGCAAGGAUGCUGGCGUAAUGGUCAUCAACGACCCGUCUUGAAACACGGACCAAGGAGUCGUCUUCGUAUGCGAGUGUUCGGGUGUAAAACCCCUACGCGUAAUGAAAGUGAACGCAGGUGAGAGCUUCGGCGCAUCAUCGACCGAUCCUGAUGUUCUCGGAUGGAUUUGAGUAAGAGCAUACGGGGCCGGACCCGAAAGAAGGUGAACUAUGCCUGUAUAGGGUGAAGCCAGAGGAAACUCUGGUGGAGGCUCGCAGCGGUUCUGACGUGCAAAUCGAUCGUCAAAUAUGGGCAUGGGGGCGAAAGACUAAU
rnacentral:rRNA from 2 species